GCAAUAGCUACUUGCAUCAUUGUAGAUAUGAUGCAAGAUCGACUAUGUCGAAUAAAAUUCUAGGUAGAAUUAUGAUAAUGACAUUGUCUGCCUAUGUGUCUUGACCAAAUUACGUGCCAGCAGUCGCGGUAAUACGUAGAAGACUAGUGUUAUUCAUGUGUAAUCGGUUUAAAGGGUACCUAGACGGUAAAUCAAGCCUAUAAAAAAUAUAAAGGAAGGGACUAAUUUACUAGAGUUACUUAUGAGGGGGUAUUAAAGUACUACUGGUGUAGAGAUGAAAUUCUGUCAUACCAGCAAAACGACGGCACAGGUAUAGGCGAAAGCAUCCCCUUAUGUGAUAACUGACGUUGAGGGACGAAGGCUUUGUGUAGCGACCAGGAUUAGAUACCCCAGUAGUCAAAGCAGAAAAUGAUGAAUGUCAUAGAUUAGAUAUAUAAGUUUAUUCUAUAAAUGAAAGUGUAAGCAUUCCACCUCAAGAGUAAUUUGGCAACAUUGGAACUGAAAUCAUUAGACCGUUUCUGAAACCAGUAGUGAAGUAUGUUGUUUAAUUUGAUGGCCCGCAAAAAACCUUACCACAAUUUGAAUAUUUAUAUCUUUUAUUGUUUUUCUUCUGAUUUUUCUUCUGAUUUUACUUCUGAUUUUACUUCAAAUGAAGUAAAAGAAAGAAGUAAAAGAAAGAAGAAAAAUAAAAAGAGGCAAUA
rnacentral:rRNA from 1 species